rnacentral:lncRNA from 1 species
AUCACUUCGCCUAAGUAAAAUGCAAACAAAAUGAAAAGAAGACAAAAGCUUCUUUCCCAUCUCAGGCCAAGUCGGAAUCAAGGGAAGCAGCCUCAACCUGCCGUGGACAGCUCGGCCACCUUCCACCCUUCCACUCCCUGAGAUGUCAGCGUUUGCUGCCUGCAGAGAGGCAGCUUCUGCAACUCUGAGAGCUCAGCUGGUGUUGGGGGUGUGAGGAAACCUCGCCUGCCUGGCUCCUCUGUUGGCCGAGGUGCAGGUGGCUCUCUCGGGAGAUGAUCCCUCAGACUUGGGGAUGUAAUGUGCAGUUCUCAGGCAAGGAAAGGGCGGUGGCCUUGCUCUCCACCUGCAAACCAGACAGAGGAAAGAGUAGAGGCCAGCUUCAGAGUCCAUGGGGCAAAGCUAGCAGAAAUUUCGUUUUGUCUGAUUUUUGUUUUGGGGGGAGGAAGCAGUCAGAUAUACCAAGAAAAAGCUCUAUUUUUUAUACCCUAUGAGGGAGGCAUUUGGGAAAUGAUAUACUAUUAUAGAGACAUAUUCAAACAGAAUCCUUUGGUCCUGUGCCCAGAUCUUCUCGUUGCUUCUCAGGGCAGCAUUAUUCUUACCUCCAACAUGGGCUUGAAGGAGGUGAGGAGGCAGCUAUGUGCCAGCUGCGAAGUGUUACUUUGAUGCCCACCUGCACCACCUCUCACUGGACACUAGCACCACCCUCCCCUUUCCACACACUGUCUCCCACCCCAGUUUGAACACAGCUCUGAGAAGCAAAGCUUAUGGACCUAAAACUGGCAGCCUUAGUCUCUCUGUGCUUUUGCUGCUCCAGCCUCUGAAUUCUGCAUCACGCCUCUUGCAUCUGUCAUGAGGGGCCGGCUCUCUCCCUGGUGUUGUAUUCAAGUCCCUGACCCCUCCAUAUGGCCCGCCAGUGGUGCUGGGUUUUCAUUUUGCUCCCAACCUGAGUAAUGUGUGUGCUGAGUUUCUCCUGUGUUUCCCCUGUUGGUCAUGGCCUCCCUGGCCUUGUGGGGACCCAUCCUCCCCAUCCCGGCAGUGACUGGUGACAACGUGUAGUGCUAGCUCUUCAUUCCCUCCAAGGGGUGUGCACACUUUUUAUCCCUGCUCUUGCAAAAAUGAAUACAAUUAUGAUUUCCCAUGGAAAUUGAAAAGUCUAUUUAACUAAUUUAACUAUUAAACACUUUCACUGGU